UACAGAGGGUGCGAGCGUUGUUCGGAAUUACUGGGCGUAAAGGGCGCGUAGGCGGCUCGCUAAGUCCAACGUGAAAUCCCCAGGCUCAACCUGGGAACUGCGUCCGAUACUGGCAGGCUUGAAUCCGGGAGAGGGAUGUGGAAUUCCAGGUGUAGCGGUGAAAUGCGUAGAUAUCUGGAGGAACACCGGUGGCGAAGGCGGCAUCCUGGACCGGUAUUGACGCUGAGGCGCGAAAGCAUGGGGAGCAAACAGG
rnacentral:rRNA from 1 species